UUAAUGGCAGUCUGCUGUGUCAUUUAAAAAGCUGCAACCUCUCAUUUAUUCUUCACAUCUUCAAUGCCUGAACAAACACCAACAAUGUGACUAUACAUUGUUUGUGGAUUGUAAUGAAUAUAACUUGAUGAUGUUUCACCGAAAAUAUCCGAUUGAGAAUUUAGAAUGGGUGACACAUGUGAAAAUAUUGAAAUAGAGGCACAAGGCCCGAAAGUUUUGAGCAGGGGACCAGUCG
rnacentral:lncRNA from 1 species